rnacentral:rRNA from 1 species
GAUGAAAGCUGGCGGCGUGCCUAAUACAUGCAAGUCGAGCGAACGGACGAGAAGCUUGCUUCUCUGAUGUUAGCGGCGGACGGGUGAGUAACACGUGGAUAACCUACCUAUAAGACUGGGAUAACUUCGGGAAACCGGAGCUAAUACCGGAUAAUAUUUUGAACCGCAUGGUUCAAAAGUGAAAGACGGUCUUGCUGUCACUUAUAGAUGGAUCCGCGCUGCAUUAGCUAGUUGGUAAGGUAACGGCUUACCAAGGCAACGAUGCAUAGCCGACCUGAGAGGGUGAUCGGCCACACUGGAACUGAGACACGGUCCAGACUCCUACGGGAGGCAGCAGUAGGGAAUCUUCCGCAAUGGGCGAAAGCCUGACGGAGCAACGCCGCGUGAGUGAUGAAGGUCUUCGGAUCGUAAAACUCUGUUAUUAGGGAAGAACAUAUGUGUAAGUAACUGUGCACAUCUUGACGGUACCUAAUCAGAAAGCCACGGCUAACUACGUG